rnacentral:rRNA from 1 species
AGCGAACGCUGGCGGCAGGCCUAACACAUGCAAGUCGAACGAACCUUUCGGGGUUAGUGGCGGACGGGUGAGUAACACGUGGGAACGUGCCUUUAGGUUCGGAAUAACUCAGGGAAACUUGUGCUAAUACCGAAUGUGCCCUUCGGGGGAAAGAUUAAUCGCUUUUAGAGCGGCCCGCGUCUGAUUAGCUAGUUGGUUGAGGUAAUGGCUCACCAAGGCGACGAUCAGUAGCUGGUCUGAGAGGAUGAUCAGCCACAUUGGGACUGAGACACGGCCCAAACUCAUACGGGAGGCAGCAGUGGGGAAUCUUGCGCAAUGGGCGAAAGCCUGACGCAGCCAUGCCGCGUGAAUGAUGAAGGUCUUAGGAUUGUAAAAUUCUUUCACCGGGGACGAUAAUGACGGUACCCGGAGAAGAAGCCCCGGCUAACUUCGUG